rnacentral:rRNA from 1 species
GGCUAACGCUGGCGGCGUGUCUUAGCCAUGCAAGUCGAGCGGACUUAUGGGGUAACUUAUAAGUCAGCGGCGGACGGCGGAGUAACACGUAGCUAACCUACCCUCUGGACGGGGGAUAACCUACCGAAAGGUGGGCUAAUACCCGAUGUAGUCAUCCUGUAUAGGGGUGAUGAAAGGUGGGCUUCUGUUUACAAGCUCAUGCUGGAGGAGGGGGCUGCGGCCUAUCAGGUAGUUGGUAGGGUAAUAGCCUACCAAGCCGAUGACGGGUAGCCGGCCUGAGAGGGUGACCGGCCCGAGGGGCACUGAGAUACGGGUCCCACUCCUACGGGAGGCAGCAGGCUAGAAAUUUGGGCAAUGGGGGAAACCCUGACCCAGUGACGCCGCGUGCAGGAAGGAGCCCUUCGGGGUGUAAACUGCCUGUCGUGUAGGGAGAAGGGUACUAAGGUGAACAAUCUUAGUACUUGACGGUACUACAGGAGGAAGCCCAGGCUAACUCGUGCCAGCAGCCGCGGUAAAGCUAACGUAAACGUAG